ACGUUAGUGCUUAGGCACAAAAACAUGGAAAAAGAUGGCCCAGAUCGAAAAUACUUAAGUUUCACUUGAAACGUACUGUAAAUGGGUGGUUUGGGGUCAGAGAGAUUGGCUAUUGUUAACUUGGCCAGAUUAUUACUGCAUCUGUUUGGGCAAGAAGACCCUGUUCUGUAGCAUAGUGACUGUAAUGACAAUAAACGAUUAUGAUUAUUAAAAAAAAUAUGAAUUGGGGUAUAAAUUACCUUUAUCACCGUUUAUAAUUAUCUAUUAGACAACAAAGCAAGUAUAAUGCAUGCCAUGGCAAUAUAUUCAGCAAGGUCAAGGAUAAUAUUUUACUAACCUAGAUGUAUUAUUGAAGUAGGCCUAUAUGAAAUGCAUGUGGCAACAGUGUAUGUGUUAGCCUAUCCCCAACAAGCAACAUCAAUGAAUAAACAUUUAUUUUGAUUUCUUCCAGCAGUGUGGUCCACUUGUCUUUGCAUCCUGGGAAGUGCAUUGCUUUCACAAGGAAGCGUAUUUUUUUGGCAUUGAAGGAAAGAAAUGUACUGCCCGACAGGGAGUGAGCAGAAGAUCAGGACGGUGGUGCAGAGUGAUGGCCAUCAACCCACAUGUCAACAGCUUCGUUCGGUCCUUUGUGUUUAAAUGGAAGACUUCACACUGAGGGACUGUGGCCUGUUUGCAGCCAUCCACGUGCCCUUCAGUUAGGGGUGAAUCUUGUGAGACACUUGUUGUUUUUGCUCACUUUUUAAGAUAAAUCAAAUUUCUGAUGUACUGUACCAAGACCGUUGCUGAUGGGGCGAAAGAUGGUGACAAUUCUGAAAUGUUUUGAAAUGUUUAAAUAUAUUGAUUGAAUAAAAAUACAUUUUUUAAAUUUA